AGAGUUUGAUUAUGGCUCAGGAUGAACGCUAGCGAUAGGCCUAACACAUGCAAGUCGAGGGGCAGCACAUGAAGUAGCAAUACGGAUGGUGGCGACCGGCGCACGGGUGAGUAACGCGUAUGCGACCUGCCUACAACAGGGGAAUAACCCGUCGAAAGACGGACUAAUACCCCAUAACACAGGGAUCCCGCAUGGGAAUAUUUGUUAAAGAUUUAUCGGUUGUAGAUGGGCAUGCGUUCCAUUAGCUGGUUGGUGAGGUAACGGCUCACCAAGGCAACGAUGGAUAGGGGAACUGAGAGGUUUAUCCCCCACACUGGUACUGAGACACGGACCAGACUCCUACGGGAGGCAGCAGUGAGGAAUAUUGGUCAAUGGACGCAAGUCUGAACCAGCCACGUCGCGUGAAGGAAGACGGCCCUACGGGUUGUAAACUUCUUUUGUAAGGGAAUAAAGUGCAGUACGUGUACUGUUUUGCAUGUACCUUACGAAUAAGGAUCGGCUAACUCCGUGCCAGCAGCCGCGGUAAUACGGAGGAUCCGAGCGUUAUCCGGAUUUACUGGGUUUAAAGGGUGCGCAGGCGGGAGAUUAAGUCGGCGGUGAAAUUUUGCAGCUCAACUGUAAAAGUGCCUUCGAAACUGGUUUCCUUGAGUGUGGAUGAAGUAGGCGGAAUUUGUGGUGUAGCGGUGAAAUGCAUAGAUAUCACGAGGAACUCCGAUUGCGCAGGCAGCUUACUAAACCAUAACUGACGCUCACGCACGAAGGCGUGGGGAUCAAACAGGAUUAGAUACCCUGGUAGUC
rnacentral:rRNA from 1 species